AUUAAACCCUUCGUCUUCAACCUCACCAUCCACCUCCUCUUUUCGUGAAAACCCUAGCCGUCGAAACGAGCAGCCGCCUUUGAGUCUGCUGCCAACCAUCCGCACCUCCAACCUGACGUCAAUUCUGCUAUCCUAGUCGCUCAGUGUUCACAGUCUGAAGCAGUCGCUAGUCGAGCCCUAGCGCAGCUCGCCGUCUAGCGUCUCCGGUCGCCGUUCUGUCGUGUCACCGGUUAGUCGCGUUCGUGGUGCAGCCCUUUCGCCGCACCAUCGUCGAUUCCAAUCACGAGCGUCCGCCAUUCUUCACGUCGAGUAUGGGUUCGAAGGCCAGCCACCUCUGUUCAACGAGCCGCUACAGCAAGUCCCAGGUCAGUCGUAGUUAGUCCGCUCGGCUGGAGUUGCGCGUGCCGCCAGUUCUGUGCAGGCUCAGUCCGUUUUCACAGUUGUUGUCUUGGUCGUCGCUUUUGGACAGAUUGAUUGGUUAAGGUUUCAUUGGGCAAGGAAGAGGAUAAACUUGCUAGUUCCUAGAGUUUUCGAUUAGAGGUAAGAGUAGGGACGUGCCGACGAAUGACAAGUAAAAUCCGUGAUUGAGCCACUAGGACCAGUUUUAUGCUUCCGCUCAUGAUGUUUAGAUUUCUCUCAUGUUUUUCCACUUUCAGUCUUCAUGUUUGAAACUUACUGAUUAGUAUUCGUUUCCAAACUUUUACUAUUUUCUAGACUCAUUAAAUUUUUAAUUAUGAUUUAUGGGUACUCUGUAAUUUGACUUUUAUUGAAAAUCUUUUAUUUGACUUUGUUUAUUUAGUAUUUA